UGCCUCAUUCUAGGCGACAAUGAGCACUGAGGUUCAUGGUGUGUAAAAACUGGGAAUGUGGCUACACUGAGACUUCAGUGACAGGUUACACUUCUGUCACAGUAAGUUUAUUGCACUGGUGACAAUGAAACUCUAACAGUU